rnacentral:lncRNA from 1 species
AGGCUUUUCAGUCACAGCACCCCCUGUGACAAACGUGUGGAGCACCGCAUGACUUCUUCAACCAGCUGGUUUUUCUGGCAUUUGAAUAAAAGUAAAAAUAGAAAACAAAGAGGGAGAAGAAAAGUGACAAGCUGAAACCUGCGAAGAGAAAGAGGACAAGAAAUGAACAAGUUGAUCUGGUCUCGAGGGAGGAGGAGGCACAGGAACACAGUAAAGGAACCUAUCUGAGGAGCUGCAGACAUGAACCAACAAAGCCAGAAGAGCCUGAAGCAAUACUGCAAGUGGGUGCUUUGGUACUGCUUUGAAGCAUCUUUCCAGACUCUGCAGUAGCCAAGGCCUGUGACUCCAGUCCCUGAGAAAGUACCAUCAGGAGCAAUACGUAAGCUUUUCAGGGACAAAGAACCUUGUCCUCUUAAUCUGGAUUCACAAUUCACAAUUAUACCCCUAGCCUGCCCAACGCCUUUUUCUCAGUCUCUGAGAAGUAUUGACUCUCUUUUACCUAAGAGCAGGCAUCU